GAUGAACGCUGGCGGCGUGCCUAAUACAUGCAAGUCGAGCGAACGGACGAGAAGCUUGCUUUUCUGAUGUUAGCGGCGGACGGGUGAGUAACACGUGGAUAACCUACCUAUAAGACUGGGAUAACUUCGGGAAACCGGAGCUAAUACCGGCUAAUAUUUUGAACCGCAUGGUUCAAAAGUGAAAGACGGUCUUGCUGUCACUUAUAGAUGAAUCCGCGCUGCAUUAGCUAGUUGGUAAGGUAACGGCUUACCAAGGCAACGAUGCAUAGCCGACCUGAGAGGGUGAUCGGCCACACUGGAACUGAGACACGGUCCAGACUCCUACGGGAGGCAGCAGUAGGGAAUCUUCCGCAAUGGGCGAAAGCCUGACGGAGCAACGCCGCGUGAGUGAUGAAGGUCUUCGGAUCGUAAAACUCUGUUAUUAGGGAAGAACAUAUGUGUAAGUAAAUGUGCACAUCUUGACGGUACCUAAUCAGAAAGCAACGGCUAACUACGUG
rnacentral:rRNA from 1 species